GGGGGCGAACUGGCUUCGACAGAGGAUGCCCAAGACGAAGUGCGAGCCGAGGUUGGUCUGCAGGCCUCGCAAAAAGCAGACCACAGAUCAAAGGCCAACGAGCCGAUGAUCAACAUGGCCACCGCCGCUGCAUAAGGCGGGCAUGUGCGGAGACUACGUGAGCUCCGCCGUCACCCCGGGAGAUCUCCCUGGUACCGGGUGUGGCGCAAGACUAGGGAUGCAGUCCGGAAGAGAGUGUUCCGUGCUCUCCGGAUCAAGAUGACAGGGACAACGCCGUACCCGGCCCCCGGGUUACAGGGACACGCUCGUAGUACUUUGUCGUAAGUUCUCCUGGACCCGGGUUCGAUUCCCGGCGCCUCCACUC
rnacentral:tmRNA from 1 species